rnacentral:rRNA from 1 species
UGGGGAAUUUUUCGCAAUGGGGGAAACCCUGACGAAGCAACGCCGCGUGGAGGAUGAAGGCCUUCGGGUCGUAAACUCCUGUCGAUCGGGACGAACGUGGCUGGGUCCAAUACACCCGGCUAUCGACUGUACCGGUAAAGGAAGCUCCGGCUAACUCUGUGCCAGCAGCCGCGGUAAUACAGAGGGAGCAAGCGUUGUUCGGAAUUACUGGGCGUAAAGGGCGCGUAGGCGGUUCGAUAAGUCCCGUGUGAAAUCCCUCGGCUCAACUGAGGAAUGGCACGGGAAACUGACGGGCUUGAGUUCGGGAGAGGGAAGCGGAAUUCCGGGUGUAGCGGUGAAAUGCGUAGAUAUCCGGAGGAACACCGGUGGCGAAGGCGGCUUCCUGGACCGACACUGACGCUGAGGCGCGAAAGCUAGGGGAGCAAACGG